rnacentral:rRNA from 1 species
UUGGGAUGGAGUACCCGCUAAACUUAAGCAUAUCACUAAGCGGAGGAAAAGAAACCAACAGGGAUUCCCCUAGUAGGGGCGACCGAACGGGGAUGAGCCCAUCGCGUAGCCGUUAGCGACCGUCUUAAUCGGCCAAGUCGCUAAACGGGUGCCGCGUAUG